CAGAAAUCAUUUUAAACAACAAUUUAUUAUUUAUGCUAUGUAAAUUUAAUUUAAUGGUUUCUUGGAUACUGUCACCUAUCACAUGGAUAACAGAUUUUGCCUUCUUUUAUGAAUACCAACUAUCGACCUUCAAUUCCUUUUAUAUUAGGACUAUCAUCUAGUUAGAGAAACAAAUGAAGUAUACUUAUUAUGUUCUGUACACCAAUUUCAUGUAUAUAAAUGAUGGUUUACCCAGUUAAGGUCUGUUUGAACAUGUAUUUUCCAUCUGUUUUUCAUAAAAAACACCAAACUACUAUAUGUCAUGAAUGUGAUCUUCUGAUUUGUAAUCAUGUAAUAUGCUGAAAUAUGAAAUCAGAUGAAAGUGAAUGUAUUUUCAUUUAGUAAUAUGAAUUCUUUCAACCACAGAUAGUUUUUAUUUUGUUGAUGCAUUUAGCACACAAUUUCAAAAACUUAUUCACUUCAUAUGUUAUAGUCUAUCAGUGUAUAUAUUGUUUGUAUUUAAAGUACAUGAAGUAUGUAUGCAAAUAGGAUAAAGUUGUGCUUUAGAAAUAAGAGGUAUGAAUUUACCUACAAUCCUUGAUAUGAGUAUAAAGUAUUUAAACAAAAUUUACUAUAAAAACCAAAGAUCUUGUGAUUUGUUUUCUCUCUAAAUGAACAAUUUAAAGUUAUUCAUCUCCUGCAUAAAAGUAAGAUCAUGUUUCUUUUAGAAAUAAGAGUAUAAGUUAUUCUUAGCACUGUGCCUGAUUUGUCCCCAUAUGUGGCAACACAGAUUUGGAAACACUUAAAUGGAAAUUUUAUGAGGUUGAUUUUUUUGUGAGAUGUUUUAAGAAUCAUAUAGGUAUUUUAAAAUUAUAAUGUAGGUCCCAGACCACCACACAUUUUUCUAGAAAAACCCUAUUAAAAUUAAUACAAGGUUUGUAGAUAUUUUUGUGCAUUUUUUUUUAUCUAAGAAGAAGAGCAGUAGUCUCUGAUGUAAAUAUGUUUUUAUUCUGUUUUCCUUUUAUAUUUUUGUCCAAGUAUAUGUAAUUUUACAAUAGUGGGGAAAAGAAUUCUAGAUGCCUUCCGUUAAAAAGCAUGAGUGGCAUCGCUAAAAUAUGCAAAGUAUCUUGAACCUAAAUAUACAAAUUUGUAUCAACUGAAUUUUGUGUAGAGAGUCUAAACAGUAUGAGUAUUUUGUAUUUCGCAGACAUGUUAGUUUCAACAGAACUGUUUUAAGUUAUUCAUGUUAUUGCAAAACUGUCCUCGAUUUCCAUUAAAUCAGAGCCAUCAAUAAGUUAUAUUUCUGAAAAUUUUGAGCAGCAGGAUGUUUUGUAUUUUCAAGCUUAAUAUUUGUAUGAGUAAAUGAAUUUUGUUAUCACUUUUGUUAUAUUUGUAAGGGUCAUUCUAUUAUUUAUAGUUUUUGUUCAUGAUAAAAAAAACUUAAAUUUUAUGAUGUAUGAUUGAAAUGACUGAAAACUUUUUUUUGUGGUUGGCUUAUGUAAUUACAUGUAUACUGCUGGAAUGCAUUGUUAUAUUUUCUUUAAACUUUUUUGUUCACCUCUCCCUUUACCUCUCCUGGUUCAAAGAACUAUUUAAGCUGUUUUCUUCUCUUUGCAUUUGUUUUUAUAAGGUACAAAAUGAUUGACCAUGUCAAAGACCCAAGAACUUUUAACAACAUAAAAUUAAGAAUGGAAAUGGGGAAUGUGCCAAAGAGACAACAACCCGACCAUAGAAAAAAACAACAGCAGAAGGUCACCAACAGGUCUUCAAUGUAGCGAGAAAUUCCCGCACCCGGAGGCGUCCUUCAACUGGCCCCUAAACAAAUAUAUACUUGUUCAGUGAUAAUGAACGCCAUACUAAUUUCCAAAUUGUACACAAGAAACUGAAAUUAAAUAUUACAAGACUAACAAAGGCCAGAGGCUCCUGACUUGGGACAGGCGCAAUAAUGCGGCGGGGUUAAACAUGUUUGUGAGAUCUCAACCCUCCCCCUAUACCUCUAGCCAAUGUAGAAAAGUAAACACAUAACAAUACGCACAUUAAAUUCAGUUCAUAAGAAGUCCGAGUCUGACUUUUUAUGCCCCACCUAGGAUCAUUUUUAGGCCUGUGCGUCCAUCCUUUCAUAACUUUGUAGACAUUUUGUUAGAGCAUAAUAUAUAGAUGUGCAUAUCAACAGUAAAUUAUGAUACAAUGUUAUUUCUAGGAGUUAUGCCUCUUUGAACUUCGAAUUUUGGCCUAAGUAGCAGCAGCAGUUUGUCAUCACAAUUCCUUGGAAGCCACGCAACAUAAUUUCAUGAACUUGAUAUAGAUAAUAAGGACAUGAAUUAGAUAUGCAUAUCCACAAGUUGACAUUUUUAGGAGUUAUUAGUCUUUAGACUAAGGAAUCAAGAGAUUUUGUUCGCCCAUUGACAUUGUGCAAGUGGGGCAUCCGUGUACUAUGGACACAUUCUUGUUUAAGAAAUAUUUAAAAUGGAGGUAUUUUCUGUUGUCCAUAAUUGUAAUUGAACCAAAAAUUGUAUUACCUUUCAAUACUUCAUACGAUGCAACAGAGCUUUAGUUUUCUCUGCAAAAUGAAUGCAAUUUGUUAUUAAAAAUAAAAUUAACGGUACCAAUUUUCUUGCACCAGAUGUGCAUUUCGACAAUACCUGUCUCUUCAGUGAUGCUCGUGGCCAAAAUAUUUAAAAUCCAAAGCUAAUAUAAAAGAUGAAGAGCUAAAAUCAAGAAGGUCUAAAAAGUUAUAGCCAAAUCACAAACUCACAAGUACAUUGAUUUAAUACUGCUUUUGCUGUUUAAGUUAAAUCUACAUCAGAAGGGGGGAACAUGCAUUUGAUUUUAGUUUGUUGAAAAUUUCCAUUGAUUAGGGGGUAGGGGUCUCUGGUAUUUUAGCAUAAAACCAUUUCUGUAUUUAUAUACAUCAAAGUAUAGUUAUGUAAAGUUCAUGUGAACCAGGUCAGUGGUUAUGAGAGAGUUUUUCUUUGUUAGUUCUAGUCUGGUUUAUAUAUUCAUAUUUUUGAAAUAGCAUGAUUUAUCUAUCAUUUGUAUGUUAGUUCAUAUAAAACAUUGAUAAUAAACGAUUAUUGUAUAUUUCUGUGUUGCCAUGUUUCAAUCAUAUUCCUUCUGUGUGAUUGUAUUGCCUUGAUCCAGUAAGGAGACUAAAUCCUAGUGUUUAUUGUGAUUCUUGUAAAACUGAGCUUUUUAGU
rnacentral:lncRNA from 1 species